GCGGAUUGCUUGGCUUCCUCGGUGGUGGAAGAAGGUUACUGGAAUUUUGCGAUCCCGGAGAUUCUCCAUCUGGUUCGCGAUGACAGAAGACAGUUGCCUUACAUUCGGAUUGUCACUUGAGGUGUUCUUCUCUCUUUUUCCCUGCCUCUUACUUUUUGAUUCCGUUUGCUCUUGUUGCUACCUGCACGGGAUUUCAUCUUCUCCUUUUCAGACUUUUUACCUCUCUUGCGCCUUUGGUUCUGUUUGGAUCAUCGAGGAUCUGGUCUGUGUUUGGUGGUGGUUGGUCUGGG
rnacentral:lncRNA from 1 species